rnacentral:misc_RNA from 1 species
UGGGUUGGAACCCUCCAGAAGUCCGCAGAGAUGUGGAUGUGCCCGCAAGGGAAUUGGAUGUCCAGGUGCUGCAUGGCUGUCGUCAGCUCGUGUCGUGAGAUGUUGGGUUAAGUCCCGCAACGAGCGCAACCCUUGUCGUUAGUUGCCAGCGGUUCGGCCGGGCACUCUAACGAGACUGCCGGUGUUAAACCGGAGGAAGGUGGGGAUGACGUGGAACGGUUGGUU